GACGGAGGGGGCUAGCGUUGCUCGGAAUCACUGGGCGUAAAGCGCACGUAGGCGGACUCUUAAGUCGGUGGUGAAAUCCUGGAGCUCAACUCCAGAACUGCCUUCGAUACUGAGAGUCUCGAGUCCGGGAGAGGUGAGUGGAACUGCGAGUGUAGAGGUGAAAUUCGUAGAUAUUCGCAAGAACACCAGUGGCGAAGGCGGCUCACUGGCCCGGUACUGACGCUGAGGUGCGAAAGCGUGGGGAGCAAACAGG
rnacentral:rRNA from 1 species